rnacentral:rRNA from 1 species
AUUGAACGCUGGCGGCAUGCCUUACACAUGCAAGUCGAACGGUAGAGGGGGCAACCCCUUGAGAGUGGCGAACGGGUGAGUAAUGCAUCGGAACGUGCCCAGUUGUGGGGGAUAACACUUCGAAAGAAGUGCUAAUACCGCAUACGACCUGAGGGUGAAAGGGGGGGAUCGCAAGACCUCUCGCGAUUGGAGCGGCCGAUGUCAGAUUAGGUAGUUGGUGGGGUAAAGGACUACCAAGCCGACGAUCUGUAGCUGGUCUUAGAGGACGACCAGCAACACGGGGACUGUGAAACGGGCCAGACACCUACGGGAGGCAGCAGUGGGGAAUUUUGGACAAUGGACGCAAGUCUGAUCCAGCCAUGCCGCGUGCAGGAAGAAGUCCUUCGGGUUGUAAACUGCUUUUGUCAGGGAAGAAAUCCUCUGGGCUAAUAUCCUGGGGGGAUGACGGUACCUGAAGAAUAAGCACCGGCUAACUACGUGCCAGCCGCCGCGGUAAGAC